GGCCUUGUAGUUCAGAAGUUAGAACAUCGUUCGGAAAUACGAAUGUUGCGGGAUCGAUUCCCAGCCGUGGUCA